rnacentral:lncRNA from 1 species
UUUUUUUUUUUUUUUUUUUUUUUUUUUUUUUAAUUUUAUUUUCCCACUGUACAGCAAGGGGGUCAGGUUAUCCUUACAUGUAUACAUUACAAUUACAGUUUUUCCCCCACCAUUUCUUCUGUUGCAACAUGAGUAUCUAGACAUAGGUCUCAAUGCUAUUCAGCGGGAUCUCCUUGUAAAUCUAUUCUAAGUUGUGUCUGAUAAGCCCAAGCUCCCGAUCCCUCCCACUCCCUCCCCCUCCCAUCAGGCAACCACAAGUCUCUUCUCCAAGUCCAUGAUUGAUUUUCUUUUCUGAGGAGAUGUUCAUUUGUGCUGGAUAUUAGAUUCCAGUUAUAAGUGAUGUCAUAUGGUAUUUGUCUUUGUCUUUCUGGCUCAUUUCACUCAGUAUGAGAUUCUCUAGUUCCAUCCAUGUUGCUGCAAAUGGCAUGAUGUCAUCCUUUUUUAUGGCUGAGUAGUAUUCCAUCGUGUAUAUAUACAACAUCUUCCGAAUCCAAUCCUCUGUCGAUGGACAUUUGGAUUGUUUCCAUGUCCUGGCUAUUGUGAAUAGUGCUGCAAUGAACAUGCGGGUGCAUGUGUCUCUUUUAAGUAGAGCUUUGUCCGGAUAGAUGCCCAAGAGUGGGAUUGCAGGGGUCAUAUGGAAGUUCUAUGGAUAGAUUUCUAAGGUAUCUCCAAACUGUUCUCCAUAGUGGCUGUACCAGCUGACAUUCCCACCAGCAGUGCAGGAGGGUUCCCUUUUCUCCACAGCCCCUCCAGCACUUGUUAUUUGUGGAUUUAUUAAUGAUGGCCAUUCUGACUGGUGUGAGGUGGUAUCUCAUGGUAGUUUUGAUUUGCAUUUCUCUUAUAAUCAGCGAUGUUGAGCAUUUUUUCAUGUGUUUGUUGGCCAUCUGUAUAUCUUCUUUGGAGAAAUGUCUAUUCAGGUCUUUUGCCCAUUUUUCCAUUGAUUGAUUGGUUUUUUUGCUGUUGAGUUGUAUAAGUUGCUUAUAUAUUCUAGAGAUUAAGCCCUUGUCAGUUGCAUCAUUUGAAACUAUUUUCUCCCAUUCUGUAAGUUGUCUUUUUGUUUUCUUUUGGGUUUCCUUUGCUGUGCAAAAGCUUUUCAGUUUGAUGAGGUCCCAUGGGUUUAUUUUUGCUCUAAUUUCUAUUGCUUUGGGAGACUGACCUGAGAAAAUAUUCAUGAUGUUGAUGUCAGAGAGUGUUUUGCCUAUGUUUUCUUCUAGGAGUUUGAUGGUGUCCUGUCGUAUAUUUAAGUCUUUCAGCCAUUUGGAGUUUAUUUUUGUGCAUGGUGUGAGGGUGUGUUCUAAUUUCAUUGCUUUGCAUGCAGCUGUCCAGGUUUCCCAGCAAUGCUUGCUGAAUAGACUUUCUUUUUCCC